AUGGCAAACAUUCAUAGCUAAUUAUAUUAUAGGGGUAUAGUUUAAUUUAUUUACCUUAUAUAAUUAUAAUUUAUUUUUGUUUGCUAUAUUUAAUGGGGUCCACAACCUAUUAUAUAACCAAUGGUAUAAAAACAUUAUUUUCUAAUUUUGUAUAUAAUUAUAUACAAAACAAUUUUCUCUCUCCUUUUCACAUUCCAAAUUUUUCUCCUACAUUUAUUACUCCAGCUAUCCGGUUUGAAAUUCAAAUUGUUGUCCAAAAUUAGAUUACUCCCUCCCGAAGUUGAAGUUCCCUCCCGAAGUUGAAGUUCCCUCCCGAAGUUGAAGUCAAUUUCGUAAGUACUCCUUAAUUUUAGUUGUUUACCUCUUUUUCUUUUUUUUUUACUUAUUCAAAAUUUGUAUAUGUGUUCUGUUUAUUUUUUUUCCAUAUAUUUUGAUGAAAUAAUCAAUUUUUUGUUCUUGAUAGAUCUAAAAUUGGUCACACAAUGAAUGAAUCAUCUUCAUCUUUGAGGAUUACCAGAGGGUCAUUGGGAAAAUCAAAUCAAGUUAUACAAGAACAAACAAUGGAAGAGCUUAGAUCAAAG